UCAAGGCCCGGAACAGGUUUUCACCCUGAUCUAACAGUGUGUUCGAUUCGUGUGAGAUCACCGUGAAAGCCUUUUCCGUGCUUUCC
rfam:Trichinella spiralis unplaced genomic scaffold Scfld2, whole genome shotgun sequence.